UGGGGAAUAUUGCACAAUGGGGGAAACCCUGAUGCAGCGACGCCGCGUGAGUGAAGAAGUAUUUCGGUAUGUAAAGCUCUAUCAGCAGGGAAGAAAAUGACGGUACCUGACCAAGAAGCCCCGGCUAACUACGUGCCAGCAGCCGCGGUAAUACGUAGGGGGCAAGCGUUAUCCGGAUUUACUGGGUGUAAAGGGAGCGUAGACGGCUGUGCAAGUCAGAAGUGAAAGCCCGGGGCUCAACCCCGGGACUGCUUUUGAAACUGCGGAGCUGGAGUGCAGGAGAGGUAAGCGGAAUUCCUGGUGUAGCGGUGAAAUGCGUAGAUAUCAGGAGGAACACCAGUGGCGAAGGCGGCUUACUGGACUGUAACUGACGUUGAGGCUCGAAAGCGUGGGGAGCAAA
rnacentral:rRNA from 1 species